rnacentral:rRNA from 1 species
GAUGAACGCUGGCGGCGUGCCUAAUACAUGCAAGUCGAGCGAAUGGAUUAAGAGCUUGCUCUUAUGAAGUUAGCGGCGGACGGGUGAGUAACACGUGGGUAACCUGCCCAUAAGACUGGGAUAACUCCGGGAAACCGGGGCUAAUACCGGAUAACAUUUUGAAACGCAUGGUUCGAAAUUGAAAGGCGGCUUCGGCUGUCACUUAUGGAUGGACCCGCGUCGAAUUAGCUAGUUGGUGAGGUAACGGCUCACCAAGGCAACGAUGCGUAGCCGACCUGAGGGGGUGAUCGGCCACACUGGGACUGAGACACGGCCCAGACUCCUACGGGAGGCAGCAGUAGGGAAUCUUCCGCAAUGGACGAAAGUCUGACGGAGCAACGCCGCGUGAGUGAUGAAGGCUUUCGGGUCGUAAAACUCUGUUGUUAGGGAAGAACAAGUGCUAGUUGAAUAAGCUGGCACCUUGACGGUACCUAACCAGAAAGCCACGGCUAACUACGUGCCAGCCGCCGCCGUAA